UUAUUUGAAGAAAUUAUAAACACUAAUUUGAAAAAGUAUAUGCCCCUAUAUGUUCCCUGUAGAAUUAUUUACAAGAACUAAGAUAUGGAACCAGGAGUUGGGGUAGGAGUCUGCCCGGAAGACGACACAGGAGUCCAUGGCUGAGUGGGAGCUGCUGGCUGGGGAGGAGUCAU